UAUCAAUCGUGAUAAGGGAACCUCGAGUGCCUGUAUAUGCAGGCUGUCCAGGUGUCUAAAACACACCUGAAGAAAGGGCCGGGCAAGACCGGUGCCAGCCGCCGCGGUAAUACCGGCGGCUCGAGUGGUGGCCGCUUUUAUUGGGCUUAAAGCGUUCGUAGCUGGGUCGUUAAGUCUCUUGGGAAAUCCGGCAGCUCAACUGUCGGGCGUCUAAGAGAUACUGGCGAUCUUGGAACCGGGAGAGGUGAGGGGUACUUCGGGGGUAGGAGUGAAAUCCUGUAAUCCUCGAGGGACCACCUGUGGCGAAGGCGCCUCACCAGAACGGCUUCGACAGUGAGGGACGAAAGCUGGGGGAGCAAACCGGAUUAGAUACCCGGGUAGUCCCAGCCGUAAACAAUGCGCGUUAGGUGAC
rnacentral:rRNA from 1 species